GGCCCCAUAGUCUAGUGGUAACGACAUUGGACUUUGAAUCCAAGAGCCUGAGUUCGAAUCUUGGUGGGGCUCUCA
rnacentral:tRNA from 1 species